AGAAUGGAAAAGCUCACUGGUGUGGAGAGGGUGGUUGGGUUACCAGGCAAUACAGAAGGCGAGAUGUGAAACAGUCACUUUGGAGAAUGGAAAAGCUCACUCGUGUGGAGAGGGUGGUUGGGUUACCAGGCAGUACAGAAGGCGAGUUGGAGAUUUGUGGCUGUGAAUCGGAGUGAAACUACUCAGGAAAGUGCGUAGAAAAGAAAAUGAUAAAAUAAUGAUGGGACCGUCUUGUAAUAACCAUAUUGGAACAAAUAUUUCUCCUUGAGAGAUGUGCAAACCCUAGCUUAAAGAGAUUAAAUGUGGAGUUCCCGUCAUGGCUCAGUGGUUAGUGAAUCCGACUAGGAACCAUGAGGUUGUGGGUUUGAUCCCUGGCCUUGCUCAGUGGGUUAAGGAUCCGGCAUUGCCGUGAGCUGUGGUGUAGGUCACAGACGUGGCUCAGAUCCCACAUUGCUAUGGCUCUGAGCCGGGGGUUACAGCUCCGAUUUGACCCCUCGCCUGGGAACCUCCAUAUGCCGUGGGAAGUGGUCCUAGAAAAGGCAAAAAGACAAAAAAAAAAAAAAAAAAAAGAGAGAGAGAGAGAGAGAGAUUAAAUGUCUGGCUUGAGCCACAUGAGCAAAGCAUCUGACUCCAAAACUCGCGUUCUUCUGUCGCACCAGCAUCAAUGGAAGUGACUCAAAACAAGUACAGUCACAGAAAUAAGUAAAACUCAGACCCAUGACCACAUCUCUUUGGUAAAGAUGAAGCUGUCGCAGAACAUGGCUGAUGGACUUGAUGACAGUGAUUCAUGACAGAAUAACUGUUAAAGGGUUCUUAUAACAUGCACCCCCCAAAAAAUAUGGUUGAGAAGGUUGGAUGAAAAAUGGUGCUAACCCGGCAUGGUGGUUAAAAGGGUGGACUUGGAAUAAAGGAUAACUAGAUUCCAAGCUUGACUCUAAGAGCUACAAGCUCUGUGAGAGGAUAAGUAAGUUAACUUCCCAAAGUUAGUUUACUCAUCUGUGAAAUGGUCAGGACAGUAGUAUCCACCCUCACUGGUUUGUAGUGAGGAUUAAAUACAAUAAUUCGUCUAAAGAGUACAUUGAUAUAGUACAAUGUCUAGUUUAGAGUUAGGGCCUUAAAGUUAUACCACUCUUAUUACCAGUGAAAACUAAAAAUGCAGUGUCAGGAUGGGCUGCUGAAAGUUGUAUCAACAGAUACUAUAAUGUGAAGCCCAGCAGUUUUUUCUCAAAGGUGGGUUGAUACAGAAAUUCACACAAUAUUCUGGGUAUGAACCUAAGGUUGUUUAGCAAUAACUGCCACCAUAGAAUAGAAGCUUAAUUGACAAGACAGUAGGUUUGGCUCAUAAAACAGUUUGCUGCUGGCUAAAAAACAAACAACAGGAAACCUCUUGAGGCUUCAUGUAUAUUUAUUUAUGCAUGUAAAUAUCUUAUUUAAAAAUCUAUUCAGGAAAUAAAAGCAAAUAUGUGGCUGACAGAGAAACUAUAGAAAAUAUGAAAAAUUACAAAUUCGAAGUAAACAUGUUGAGUCAGCAACGUCAGUGAUUCUGAUCUUACCAUGUGGGUACAUCACAUUAUGGCAGCCUUUCAAAAGGCGAAGAGUUAGCUGGCUGCCUUUUCAUCAGCAGAGCCUGAACCUGUCCAUAUGCGGACAUUUUGGGCUUAGCUAUUGAGCCCCUUACUGUCUUAUCGAGUUUCGCUCAUGGUCAUACUAAAAUAAGGUCAUAAGGCAGCAGUUCUGGUAUUUCUGAUGCCUGCACAGGUUGAAUGCUGGUUCAUGCAGACCAAGGGCAAAAUUACAGAGUGCAGAAAUCCAAAAUUAAAGAGGAAGCCUGUGUGACUUGCAGUAGAGGAUUGCUUCUAAGUCCUGUGUUUUAUGGAGCUGGAUGACUUUUUAUAAUCGUGUGGAAUACUUGUGUUGAAUUAAAAAAACAAAGCUAUGCCACUCUGCCUAUAAAACUAUUUUACCUUUCCAGCCUGACUCUAGGAGGCAGGAUUUGCUGAGCUUAGGUCUCUGCUAAGGAAGACUCUAGCAUAGUUCUCCCUAAGCCCUGUGCCUCAUAGCUACCUGGUGGCUUUAAAAUGUUGUGAUGCCCUGAGACUCUUCUGAGAAAUGUAAAGCCAGAAUCUCCAGGGUUGGAGGCCAGGCAUGGGCAUGUUUAAUGAGUUCCACUGUAACUAUGCUGUACAUGUGCACUUGAAAGGCUGAGAACUGCAUCUAAAACAAACCUCCCAGAUUUCAUAAGCUACUCCAAAAUAUGUAUGUGUGUGUAUAUCCUACAUUCAUAGACAUAUACUCAUUUUCAUUAAAAUGUUGAGGAUUAUUUAAUGCCUACAGCGCUUAUGCUCCUGAGAGUUUGAGUAGGAAGUCAAAGUGGCUGUGGAUUUUUCUGCUGGGUCAGCAAGGUAUUUCAGAAGCUUAUCACAAAGCUCUUUAUCAGAUAAGAAUGUUUUCAGCAGUAAGCAACAGAAAACCCAUCUGAGUCACUUAAACAAAUAGAAGGGUAUUUUUCUUACAAAACUAAAAAACCUGAAAGUAGGUAGUCCCAGGCUCAUGCAGCAGUUCUGGUGAUGUUUCUUGUUUUCUUCUGACAUCUUUACCAUGUGGCUUAUUGCAUCAUGCUACAAUAUGGCUGCCCCUGCACCAGGCAUCACAUCUACGGGCAGGAGGAAGGAAAGGAAGAGUAGCACUAGCCAUGUCUUUAUUAGGAUACAAGAUCAUUACUCACAUUUCUUUUUUCUUUUUUUCCAGAACUAUGUUUUACAUCAAUCUUUUUGCUGCUAGGGAGGAUGGAAAAGUGACUGUUUAGUUUUUCUUGCCUCCACAGUCGAGAAGGACAGAGAGUUAGGAAUGGCCAAUCAGCAGUGACUGCCACGUUGUGUAUAUGCCUUGUCCACUAACUUCCCUGGCAUCAGGGAAGGUGUUUUAAUGCACUUCUCUGAAUCAUUCAGGUUUUUUUUUUUUUAUUACCUUCAAUGCCCUCAAUUUUAUUAAAAAUGGCAAUAGCGGCUACAACUAUCAUUUAUUGACUACCUACUGCAUGCCAGGCAUUGUGCUAGGUGAUUUUUGCCUCUAAUGCAGUUAUAAUAAUCCACCCUGUGAGGUGAAAAUCACUGUCCUUCUUUUACAGCUAAGUAACCAGCCUCUCUGAGGCUCAGAGAGGGUAAUUGGUUUUCCCAAGUCUACAGUUUAGAAAGUGAAGGAGCUGGGGUUUGAACCUCAGUGUCUUUGGCUCCAAAGCUUAUGCUCUUUUCCAGUGCAUGGGGGGAGCCUCUACACCUGAAUCAAAACUUGUCUUGAGUGACCCACACACAAAGGAAUAUAGAUUUUUCAUAAUCACUGCACUUUAUUUUUUUACAGCAGGCUCCAUCUAGUACCCACAUGCUGCCCCCUUACAAUUCCUUGAAGUCAUUCAGGAGAACAAAGUCAUCUUGUAGUUCCCUGCUGUGGCACAAUGGGAUGAGCGGUGUCAUCUCUGGAGCUUGGGAUGCAGGUUUGAUCCCUGGCCCAGCACAGUGGGUUAAGGAUCCAGCAUUGCCCCUACUGUGGCUCAGAUCUGAUCCCUGGCCCAGGCAACUCCAUAUGUGGUAGGGCAGCCAAAAAAGAAAGAAAGGAGGGAAGGGAGGAGGGAAGGAAGGAAGGAAGGAAGGAAGGAAGGAAGGAAGGAAGGAAGGAAGGAAGGAAGGAAAGGGAGAUUCUUGUUGUCGGCCCAUCUUUCCAGGAGUUUAGCAAGGUUUCUGGGAAAUACUGGGACUAGCAAUUUGAAGAGAAAGUGCUAUUACUUCUGGUCUAGAAAUUGAUUUUAUAGUGGCAGAGGCAAGGUCAAGCCUUGAUUCCUGGGGCAGACCUGACUGGGCGAUGGUUCUCUGUGACAGCAGGAUGCCCCGCAUGGCCCUUCUGCAGCCCUUGGAUCCCCGCCUGCCUCUAGGAGGCUGGGAGGCUGGUGCAGGGAGUGGACCCAGCUCUGGCAGAGGCGAGCCUUUCUUAGUCAAGUCUGAUUUAUAGGAGAUGUGACAAGAUACAGCAGAGAAAAUGACCUCAGGGCAGCUCCUUAAACAGGACUUUCUGUAAAAAGAGGAGCCAGCUGGAUUUGUGAGGCUUUCCUUCUGCUCCAGAAAAUCCCUAGAGACAUUUCCAUCCAGUGAUUUUUAAGCUAGGAUUCUCAAGCUUUAGAGACCAGCCUGUGAUCAGGGUCUAGGGUUAGGAUUCUCCAAAAAUGCUUUUGAGGGACCCUAUUGUGGGGUCUCUAGAACAGUCAGAGGCGAGAUGAGGGUGGGGGAGAGGGUGUAUUUCAAACGACGGAAGCCCAGGUAAGUAGAACAGCCUGUAUCUUCAGGCUUCUCAGUGCUUAGCAUUCUCUUGAGACCCAAAGCAAAUCAGAAAACAUUUUCCUGAUUUAGACUCUUGAAAAUACUGUUUUGCUUGUGAUGGUGUAUUCACUGCUGGUGAUCAGAGGUGACCCAGGGACAAUGCCUCUUCUGUCUCUCAAGGAGCUCCGGUAGCCUCUGGCUCUUGGAUUGGUGCCAGGCAGAUUCAGGACUUUCAGGCAACCGCUUGCUUAUUCCUCAGGCUUGGACAGCUUAGGCAGCCAGCCCCGUAAAAGGCCCCCAAGGGCCUGAGAGCCCACCUACACACUUACUCUUCUUUUUUGCUUUUUGGGUUUUUUUCUUUUUUUGGGCGGGGAGGAGUGCUGCACCUGCAGCAUAUGAAGUUCCCAGGCUAGGGGGUGAAUCAGAAUGGCAGCUGCCAACCUAUACCACAGCCACAGCAACGUGGCAUCCUAGCCAUGUCUGCCACCCACACCACAGCUCAUGGCAACGCCUGGUCCUCAUUGAGCAAGGCCAGUGAUCGAACCUACAUCCUCAUGGAUACUAGUCAGGUUCUUAACCCUCUGAGCCACAGCAGGAACUCCCACACUU
rnacentral:lncRNA from 1 species